GCCUGUGGGAGAGGCCAGUGUUGCAGGACCCCCGGGGAGGGCUUCCGGCCGCGUGCUGUGUGACCUUAGGCUCCUCCCCAGCCAGCUCUGGGGCUCUGGGCACACAGCUCCCCGGAACCUAGCCUGAGUCAAGCUGGGGGACCCACGUGCCCCAUGCAGGAAGGCACCAGCACCCCAUUUUAAGAGGGAGGCCCCAUUUUAGAGGCCCGGAUGGGUGCUGACUGCAGUUCAGUGUCUUCCAGAACCUCUGCCCGCUGGGAACUUCAUGGAGAAGCCAUCCAGGAAGAAGCAGGAAGGACCUCCAGGGAGCCAGAAGAGAAGUCACAAACCCACACGAGAGCCCCCCGGCUGUCCCGCGGUCACUUCCGCCUGCCUGGAUGGCGCUUAGGGAGCCUGGGUAUUUUGUCUGUGCUGGGGACGGCCACACACAGUAGCCUGUCUUCCGUGCUCUGGGAGCCCUGGAACCUGGCUGGGCCGGACUCUAGGGGCCCUGGCGCCUCCCGCCCCCGGGCCCCUGGUCCCCUGCUCAGCUCCAGUGACGGCUGGGUAUUGCACACGUUUGAUAAACUGCAGAUGAGCGAGA